CAGAUUUUGCAUAGUGUCUGAAUUCUAAAUCAGUGUUGGGAGUGCUGUUUGGGGAGCUUGUUCUGCUUAAUCAAUAAGGUUUUGGACUGAAGUUUUUGUAGAAAGUUUGAAGACCAUAUGUUAGUGAAUAAGUGCCUUUAAGUAUGUUGGGUGUGAUCCCACACCAAAAGUGAAGUAAUGGCUGUCCAAAGUUGGACUUUCAGUCUGCGGUGACAGAAGGUUAUUCAGUCAACUGUAGCUUUGGUCCAGUGUGAUUUUCCAAAUUUUUGGAGCUAUUUUGUGACUAAUCCUUGGAGUAUUAAGCCAUAUCAUUAUAAGCAGAGUUGAAGAACAUAUAUUAGUGUGCAAGUUGAUGUGGGGAGGUAGCUCUGUCUCUAUGAAGAAAUGGGAGCAAAAGAAGGAUGAAUCUGGCUCUGCAGUCGAACUGAAGAAGUUCAGAGCAGUUAGUGUAGUCUGAAAUUUCAGACUAGAAAUAGUAACUGGCAGAGACUGAAUCUCAGUGUUGGUGCUCAGUUUAGAGUCCCUGUGCAGCCAAUCCCUGUGGUUUUUGAAUUGAGAGUUUUGUAGCAAAAUGGGAGAUCAUGUAUAGGUGCAUAAAUUCCUUUAAGUCAUCUGGACCUGGUACUACAUAAACUUAGGAGAAAAGGGGUCGCAAAAUGGCUCUGUCAGACGUUAAUGGCUGUUGAUUGGUUCAGAUAAGGAAGUUCGAGCUCAGAGUAAUGUACCCCACUUGUGGGUACUCUAGAUUUGAUUAUAGGUCUUUUUAGCCUAUACAAACUACAGUAACCGGGAAAAGCUAUGUUUACUGAAUAAUCUUGGGGCAAUGAAGUGGGCAUGUUGUGUUAAGAAUAAAGAGAAAGGGGGAGCUGAACUUGAGGUUUCAGUCGAGUAAAACAGCAGGAGCAGUUUCAGAAUAAUCUGAUGGAAGUAUCUCCAUCCACCAAAUUGAUAUAGGGAAUUCUAGGAUAUGCCAGCCCAAAAGAGACUUAUGAGAAAGGAAAGUUUAUUGUCAAAAAUUCACCACCCCGAGGAUAGAUGCAGGAAGGGUGUAAAGCCUAUCUCUUGGAUGAUUCAGCUGCUUCACUGUUGAUGAGGUGUCAUACAUGCAGUAAAGGUGUGCUGGACUUUUUCCCUGAGCUUCCACCUUGCGUGGUAAACAUGCAGGUGUGUGUUGGGGAUUGUUAAUUCGCAUUUUCCCUCUGAAAUAGCCCCAGCCCGACCUCCAUUAAGCCAACUCUUGUUAUGCUAGUUUGGAGCCCAAACUGAAUUGCUUGUGCUCUCGACGAUUUCCUGGUUUCCCCACUGUGCCUCCCUCGUGCAGCAGCAGUAGCGCUCGGCUCAGCUCCCUUCCUUUAUCACACAAAGCCCCACUUCGUCGUGCCUCCACCCUGCUUGGCUUUCCCCAUCGUACGUGGCUGCUGAGCACCUCGCCGAGGCUACAGCAGCGCUCAGCACAGCUCCGGCCCGCCGGCGGUUUUCUCUACUCGACCUCCCUCAUCGCUGCAUCUGGACAUACGCUGCUGCUCGCCGCGCUCCCUGGUGUGCGAGCUUGCCGGCACCCAGUCCUCCUCUCCACGUCAGAGUCCUUACCUCACCAUCAAGACAUCGUCGUCGCGCCGUCGUACGUUAUCUAGCUCCUUAGCACAGCACCGUCCUCCAACUCGACGUCUUUGCGUCCGUAGAACUUGCUGUCGUCGUUGGGUAACUGCACCUUGGUGAUUGGCAUGGUUGCGUGUGUGUUUGGAUUAAUCGUAGCAUAAUUUUAUGUCCCGGGAAAGAUUGUCCGCGACUGUUUAUAACUGGCUUGUGGUUCACACCAUCAGCUUGGGCUUUGUGAUGUGCGUGUGAAUCGUAGUGGUGCGAUCAGUGGAUGAAAGGAAUUAGUUGGUGAAGAAACAAGUUUACAUAAAAGACCAUUGAUUUUGGUAUA